rnacentral:rRNA from 1 species
GACGAACCGAGCGAACGUUGUUCGGAAUCACUGGGCUUAAAGGGCGCGUAGGCGGAUUCUCAAGUCCGGGGUGAAAUCCUCCAGCUCAACUGGAGAACUGCCUCGGAUACUGGGUGUCUCGAGGGUGGUAGGGGUAUGCGGAACUAUCGGUGGAGCGGUGAAAUGCGUUGAUAUCGAUAGGAACUCCGGUGGCGAAGGCGGCAUACUGGACCACAUCUGACGCUUAGGCGCGAAAGCCAGGGGAGCGAA